UGAUGUAUUGCCUUGCAUAUCUCAAAAGUGAGUGAAUAAAUGAAUAUGUUAUCAUAUACAAUGUGUGUAUAUGUAUCAGUUUUUAAAUAUCUUUUUUUUUAAGUUUUUAUUCUUAGGAUUUAAAACAAGUAGAAGAAUUUGCAAAUGAGGUCCACCUGAUGGUGUUAUGCUUUGGGUUCUGAAAUGUCCACCUUAAUGCCUGUCAAUUUAACUCAAUAAAAAUCUGUCAAGAACAGUGUAGGAAAACACAAUGGUGGACGAUACAAAUGUAUCAAUUUGUC